rnacentral:rRNA from 1 species
AGCGAACGCUGGCGGCAGGCCUAACACAUGCAAGUCGAACGAAGUCUUCGGACUUAGUGGCGGACGGGUGAGUAACACGUGGGAACGUGCCUUUAGGUUCGGAAUAACUCAGGGAAACUUGUGCUAAUACCGAAUGUGCCCUUCGGGGGAAAGAUUUAUCGCCUUUAGAGCGGCCCGCGUCUGAUUAGCUAGUUGGUGAGGUAAAGGCUCCCCAAGGCUACGAUCAGUAGCUGAUCUGAGAGGAUGACCAGCAACAUUGGGACUGAGACACGGCCCAAACUCCUACGGGAGGCAGCAGUGGGGAAUCUUGCGCAAUGGGCGAAAGCCUGACGCAGCCAUGCCGCGUGGAUGAUGAAGGUCUUAGGAUUGUGAAAUCCUUUCACCGGUGAAGAUAAUGACUGUAGCCGGAGAAGAAGCCCCGGCUAACUUCGUGCCAGCCGCCGCCGUAAGAC